AUGUAGUUUAGUCUGUGAUACAUGCAACAGCAGCUACGAAUUACCCCUUAAUUCCCAUUAUUGGAAAUUAAUCCCAGUUACUACCCAAAUCCCCUCAUAAUCCUCCAUUCUCAUCACUCACCAUGUGUAAUUUCAAGCAAAAACCAAUUGAGUAGAGAGAGCCGAGAGAGUGGCAGAGAGCAAAGGAGUUUGGUUUCCAAUUCAUAUCGCAGCAAAAUCACGGCAAGUAACGUUUUCCGAUCCAACUCAUAGGACCUUGAUCUAGGAGGACAUUUCUUUUCCAAUCCUUUCACAAAACCGGCAGCGGCGAAGUGGAGGACGGCGAGGGCUCUGCACGGCCUCCGACGGAGCAACGGCGUCUAACCGCGAAGGCGGCUCGGCUGAACAGUGGCAGCAACGGCGGGACGGAGUAAGGAGAGCCGCGGUGUUGGUGACCGGCGUCGAUCUGGCGGUGAGAUCCGAGAAGAGACGGCGGAAAUCUAGGGCAGAUUUCCUUCAAUAUCGGUCGUGACGGUUAUGACGGGCGGCGGUGGUGACUUGGGGAAGGCGACGAGAUGCUAGGGCGUUUUUCCAUUUGGGGAUCCUCGGUGUGACGGUGAAGGGGAUGUAGGCGACGGCGGAGGAGAGACGUGGCGUAAGGUUGAGGAGGCGACGAUUGGGGCUGUUCACACUUUGGGUGAUGUGAAGUGAGGAGUAUAUUUUGAUGGACUCCUUUUUUACUUUAAUUGGGCCUUCCUAAUAGUUU